rnacentral:lncRNA from 1 species
GCUAUUGGUGCCAUACUAGGAUGCACACAGUUGAGACAUGAUUUCCAAGAAUCUGAAAUCCUAGGGACUAAGUUGAAGAAUAUGUGGCUAUAUCAACAUGGUACUUAUUUCUCAAAAUAUUUUUCUAAGUUUUUAAUUCCUGCUGUGACUAAUCAAUGGGAUUUUGUCUUUUGAUUGUUGUGAAAGUAGGUAACUUGUUUUGAUUUCAGAGACUUAUCAGUGGAAGGAUAUGAGUAUCAGAUGUGGCUUUGGACUUGGACUUGGGACUUUUGUGUUAAAAUUAGAAUAAGGUAAGACUUUGGGCAGAUAUUGAAAAGGAAUUAUUGUAUUUUGAAAUGUGAAAAGGACAUGAGAUUUGAGAGAGUCCAGGGGCAAAAGGAUGUUGUUUGCAUAUUUGUUACUGCUCAAAUAUCAUGUGGAAUUGUAAUCCCCAGUAUUGGAAGUCAGGCCUGAUGGGAGGUGACUGGAUCAUGGAGAUAGAUUUCUCAUGAACAGUUUAGCACCAUCUUCUUGGUGCUGUUCUCAUGAUAGCGAGUUCUCAUGAGAUCUGCUUAUUUAAAAGCAUAUGGCAACUCCUUCUCUCUCUUCUGCUCUUUCUCUGGCCAUGUGAUGGGCCUACUACCCUGACUGGAGAUAUGCUAUCUUGCAUUGCUGAGGAUCUGUGAGGUUUGACUG